CUGGUUUAUCUUCUUCGUUUUAGAUCUCGUCGGAAACUGACAACAACCCACGAUUCCGACAGAACGUUAUCACGCUUCCAACUAAGAAUCGCACGCUCCGCUUACGUUUCCAAUCAUCAAUUUUUAGGAAUCGCGCUUCCCUUCUUCUUAUAUAUCUCCUAGGGUUUCCUCGAUUCGUCUUCUGAUUCUUCUUCGUCUUUUACUUUUUUUCUGAUUCGAUUCGUCUUCGUCUUCGUCUUUUUCUUUCUGAUUCGAUUCCUCUUCUUCUUCUUCCUUCUUCUGAUUAACCAUGAAGCGCAAUACAUCCUCAUCCUCGCCAAACACGACCAUGAAGCGCCUCCAUAAGAUGUUGGUGGAGAUUUCGAUAGCUGAGGACGAGGACGAAACAGGGUUCAUCAGACCCGGGAAAAAGCUACUCAAUUCUAUUGACAAAGUAGAGAAGAUUGUGAUGAAGGAGAUCGAGAAACUGAAGAGCACUCCUCAAGCAAAAGCGGAAGAGAGGGAUAAGAAGGCCUACCAUUGAGAGAGAAGAAGAGCAGCUGGCCCUGAGGAUGUUCUUGAUUCGGCGCUGGAAGGUUUGAUCGACAGGUCACGGUGGAUAGAUAGGCCUGAUGUGGCUGGCAGAGUCAAGAUUCUUCAGGUUUUUCCUUUGCUGUUUUAUAAAGUUUACUGCUUAGUGAGGUGCCAACUCUUACCAUGUUCACUUUUCUAUUUGCAUCAAAUGAUGUCUGUUUAGCUGGUUUGAUUCAAUUGUUUGGUGUAAACGGCUUGUAGAGAAAUAUUUACAAGAGUCAGUCAGUAUAUAUGUUUCAGAUCUUUUUCUAGGGUUUUAGUAUAAUCAUUAAAGAAGUUUCUAUAUAUACCAGAAAAACAAAGCUGAAUGUUGUUGCUUCAUGUCUCUCUUUUUAACUUUUUGUUUUGAGGAUUUUAUUUUGAUCUAUGUUAAACUUUUGGGUGUUAUAGUUUAUAUAAAUCAAGAAGGUUGUUUUCAUGAUCACUGUUAUAACUGUUGUGCUGUGCAUAAACCUAACCCGUUUUAUAUUAAGAAGGUUCUUCAAGUGGGAGAAUAUGGCUACCAGAGUGUUCCAGGUUUGUUUUUUUUUUACUAGAGAAUGCAUUGCAGUGUUUAAUUUCCUUAGUUCUUUUAUAUAUCAAAGCUAUUUUAAGUGGUGAGGAAAUAGCUAUUUUAUAUAUCAAAGCAUUGCAGGAGAGGUUAGUACGAGCACAAGUUCCCCUGUUGGUUCUUUGACAGCAGCGUUCUUGCGCAACCUUAUAUGAUGACAUUGCAGAAUCGGAUCAGUGCACUUCAGAGUCAGAAGUUGAGGAAGAAACCGAUGCAGAACAACCUAUAUAUGAAACUUAAUGAAAUUUAAUGAAAUUUAGAAAAAUAUUUAAUGAAAUUUUGUACAUACCCGUACCACAUAAGAACAUGAGUUUGAUAGAUUCACAAUGA